GAUGAACGCUAGCGGCAGGCCUAACACAUGCAAGUCGAGGGGCAUCGGGAUUGAAGCUUGCUUCAAUUGCCGGCGACCGGCGCACGGGUGCGUAACGCGUAUGUAACCUACCUAUAACAGGGGCAUAACACUGAGAAAUUGGUACUAAUUCCCCAUAAUAUUCGGAGAGGCAUCUCUCCGGGUUGAAAACUCCGGUGGUUAUAGAUGGACAUGCGUUGUAUUAGCUAGUUGGUGAGGUAACGGCUCACCAAGGCAACGAUACAUAGGGGGACUGAGAGGUUAACCCCCCACACUGGUACUGAGACACGGACCAGACUCCUACGGGAGGCAGCAGUGAGGAAUAUUGGUCAAUGGACGCAGGUCUGAACCAGCCAUGCCGCGUGCAGGAAGACGGCUCUAUGAGUUGUAAACUGCUUUUGUACGAGGGUAAACUCACCUACGUGUAGGUGACUGAAAGUAUCGUACGAAUAAGGAUCGGCUAACUCCGUGCCAGCAGCCGCGGUAAUACGGAGGAUUCAAGCGUUAUCCGGAUUUAUUGGGUUUAAAGGGUGCGUAGGCGGUUUGAUAAGUUAGAGGUGAAAUCCCGGGGCUUAACUCCGGAACUGCCUCUAAUACUGUUAGACUAGAGAGUAGUUGCGGUAGGCGGAAUGUAUGGUGUAGCGGUGAAAUGCUUAGAGAUCAUACAGAACACCGAUUGCGAAGGCAGCUUACCAAACUAUAUCUGACGUUGAGGCACGAAAGCGUGGGGAGCAAAC
rnacentral:rRNA from 1 species